rnacentral:rRNA from 1 species
CCUUAGUUACCAGCACGUAAUGGUGGGAACGUCUAAGGAGGACUGCCGGGUGACAAACCGGAGGAAAGGUGGGAUGACGUCAAGUCAUCAUGGCCCUUACGGCCAGGGCUACACACGUGCUACAAUGGUCGGUACAAAGGGUUGUCAAGCCGCGAGGUGGAGCUAAUCCCAUAAAACCGAUCGUAGUCCGGAUCGCAGUCUGCAACUCGACUGCGUGAAGUCGGAAUCGCUAGUAAUCGUGAAUCAGAAUGUCACGGUGAAUACGUUCCCGGGCCUU